GGCCUCGUAGCUCAGCUGGUAGAGCAUGCGCGUACAAAGCGUAGGCGGCGUGGGUUCCAAUCCCAUCGAGGCUG
rnacentral:tRNA from 1 species